GAGGGUAUAGCUCAGUGGUAGAGCCAAUGCUUAGCAUGCAUGAGGUCCUGGGUUCAAUCCCCAAUACCUCCU
rnacentral:tRNA from 1 species